rnacentral:rRNA from 1 species
UACGUAGGGUCCGAGCGUUGUCCGGAGUUACUGGGCGUAAAGCGCGCGUAGGCGGCUUUGCAAGUCGGGUGUGAAAUCCCCAGGCUUAACCUGGGAACUGCAUUCGAGACUGCAUUGCUAGAGUAUGGGAGAGGGAAGUGGAAUUUCCGGUGUAGCGGUGAAAUGCGUAGAUAUCGGAAGGAACAUCAGUGGCGAAAGCGACUUCCUGGACCAAUACUGACGCUCAUGUGCGAAAGCGUGGGGAGCAAACAGG